rnacentral:rRNA from 1 species
UACGGGGGGAGCAAGCGUUGUUCGGAUUUACUGGGCGUAAAGGGCGCGUAGGCGGGCUUUUAAGUUAGGUGUUUAAUCCCGGGGCCCAACCCCGGACCGGCACCUAAAACCUGGGAGUCUUGAAUAGUGGAGAGGUCAGUGGAAUUGGGGGUGUAGCGGUGGAAUGCGUUAGGAGAUCCCCAAGAACACCAGUUGCGAAGGCGGCUGACUGGACACAUAUUGACGCUGAGGCUCGAAAGCACUGGGGAGCAAACAGG